AUUGAACGCUGGCGGCAGGCCUAACACAUGCAAGUAGAACGAGAGGCGGACGGGUGAGUAAUGUCUGGGAAACUGCCUGAUGGAGGGGGAUAACUACUGGAAACGGUAGCUAAUACCGCAUACCAUCGGAUGUGCCCAGAUGGGAUUAGCUUGUUGGUGGGGUAACGGCUCACCAAGGCGACGAUCCCUAGCUGGUCUGAGAGGAUGACCAGCCACGCUGGAACUGAGCCACGGUCCUGACUCCUACGGGCGGCAGCAGUGGGUAAUAUUGCACAAUGGGCGAAAGCCUGAUGCAGCAAUGCCGAGUGUAUGAAGAAGGCCUUCGGGUUGUAAAGCACUUUCAGCGGGGAGGCGUUACCCGCAGAAGAAGCACCGGCUAACUCCGUGCCAGCAGCCGCGGUAAUAC
rnacentral:rRNA from 1 species